rfam:Arabis alpina cultivar Pajares chromosome 4, whole genome shotgun sequence.
GAGCAAGGGCGUCGCAUAAUAAAUGGCGUGAAUUGCCUUGAAGGUUGGCGAUAAUAAAAAAGCAAUUCUCCGUGCCUAUCAAACUUUUUUUGGUAUUGAUAAUGGCCUCGAACAAGUUGCUACAUU